rnacentral:tRNA from 1 species
GUGGGUGUAGCUCAGCGGAAGAGCGCCGGUCUCCAAAACCGGGACGGCGGAGGUUCGACUCCUCCCACCCGUG